GGGCCUGAGGUAUAAAUGCAGGAUGGGUGCCGGCCCCGCCUGCCAGGGCCUCUGCACGUGGGUGCCGCGGUGCUGGCCCAGAAGAGCCAGCUCAAGUCUAAUGGACCUGAGCACGACCCCCCUGGCCCCCAUAGGAGACAGCUUGGCGGCAGUGAAAUGGAGGAUGAGGCUGGGGCCUUCAAGGAAAGGUGAUACCUCCCUUCCUGAAUGCCACCAGGGAUGGCCGAGGAGACCUCACAGCAUUAGUGAGACCCACCGUGGGGGGUUCAGGUGGGGUUUUUGUCAUUUGCAACAAAGAUUCCUGACCAGUGGAGAAACUAAUACCUGAAAGAGGCAAAGAGGCUUGUUGCAAAUACCUGCCUUUACAUAUGCAAUUGGCUGGGUCCUGGUGGGAUGACACCGUGAGGUUGGUAAAGCCCCACUUUCUGUGUUGGGCCACACAUGUCAGGAUGCAGCUCAGCUCUGCUUCCCCAGGCCUUUAAAGAACAUGUGACAUCAGGAGUGGUCCCUGCAGAUGUC
rnacentral:lncRNA from 1 species